UACGAAGGGGGCUAGCGUUGUUCGGAAUUACUGGGCGUAAAGCGCGCGCAGGCGGUCUUCCAAGUCAGUGGUGAAAGCCCGGAGCUCAACUCCGGAACUGCCAUUGAAACUGUAAGACUUGAGGACGAGAGAGGUGAGUGGAAUUCCCAGUGUAGAGGUGAAAUUCGUAGAUAUUGGGAAGAACACCAGUGGCGAAGGCGGCAUCACUGGCUCGUAUCUGACGCUCAGGCGCGACAGCGUGGGAUCGAAACAGG
rnacentral:rRNA from 1 species